GAUGAACGCUGGCGGCGUGCCUAAUACAUGCAAGUCGAGCGAACGGACGAGAAGCUUGCUUCUCUGAUGUUAGCGGCGGACGGGUGAGUAACACGUGGAUAACCUACCUAUAAGACUGGGAUAACUUCGGGAAACCGGAGCUAAUACCGGAUAAUAUUUUGAACCGCAUGGUUCAAAAGUGAAAGACGGUCUUGCUGUCACUUAUAGAUGGAUCCGCGCUGCAUUAGCUAGUUGGUAAGGUAACGGCUUACCAAGGCAACGAUGCAUAGCCGACCUGAGAGGGUGAUCGGCCACACUGGAACUGAGACACGGUCCAGACUCCUACGGGAGGCAGCAGUAGGGAAUCUUCCGCAAUGGGCGAAAGCCUGACGGAGCAACGCCGCGUGAGUGAUGAAGGUCUUCGGAUCGUAAAACUCUGUUAUUAGGGAAGAACAUAUGUGUAAGUAACUGUGCACAUCUUGACGGUACCUAAUCAGAAAGCCACGGCUAACUACGUGCCAGCAGCCGCGGUAAUACGUAGGUGGCAAGCGUUAUCCGGAAUUAUUGGGCGUAAAGCGCGCGUAGGCGGUUUUUUAAGUCUGAUGUGAAAGCCCACGGCUCAACCGUGGAGGGUCAUUGGAAACUGGAAAACUUGAGUGCAGAAGAGGAAAGUGGAAUUCCAUGUGUAGCGGUGAAAUGCGCAGAGAUAUGGAGGAACACCAGUGGCGAAGGCGACUUUCUGGUCUGUAACUGACGCUGAUGUGCGAAAGCGUGGGGAUCAAACAGGAUUAGAUACCCUGGUAGUCCACGCCGUAAACGAUGAGUGCUAAGUGUUAGGGGGUUUCCGCCCCUUAGUGCUGCAGCUAACGCAUUAAGCACUCCGCCUGGGGAGUACGACCGCAAGGUUGAAACUCAAAGGAAUUGACGGGGACCCGCACAAGCGGUGGAGCAUGUGGUUUAAUUCGAAGCAACGCGAAGAACCUUACCGAAUCUUGACAUCCUUUGACAACUCUAGAGAUAGAGCUUUCCCCUUCGGGGGACAAAGUGACAGGUGGUGCAUGGUUGUCGUCAGCUCGUGUCGUGAGAUGUUGGGUUAAGUCCCGCAACGAGCGCAACCCUUAAGCUUAGUUGCCAUCAUUAAGUUGGGCACUCUAAGUUGACUGCCGGUGACAAACCGGAGGAAGGUGGGGAUGACGUCAAAUCAUCAUGCCCCUUAUGAUUUGGGCUACACACGUGCUACAAUGGACAAUACAAAGGGCAGCGAAACCGCGAGGUCAAGCAAAUCCCAUAAAGUUGUUCUCAGUUCGGAUUGUAGUCUGCAACUCGACUACAUGAAGCUGGAGUCGCUAGUAAUCGUAGAUCAGCAUGCUACGGUGAAUACGUUCCCGGGUCU
rnacentral:rRNA from 1 species